AUGGCUGCUGCCUCUGAGGAGAAACUGCUUCCAAAUAAGACAGAAAUUGUGGUCUGGAAGCCCAGAAAAGAAUGUUUGCAGCAGAAUAUUCCAAAUGUUCCUGAUGGCAAGUCUGAGGAGAGUGAAUCUGCUUCUACCUCUCCCAGUGAAGUUUCUAGUAUACCUGAGUCUUCAGGGCAGCAAGAUGCAUCUGAGCAUGAGGUGGAAGACUGGGAUAGAGAACUAGAGGAGUUCACAUGUGGUCCUUACGAUGCUGACGAUCUCUCCUGUGGAAGCUUUGAGGAAAAUAAUCUUUCCAGCUCGUCUCUCAGUGUUAUUAUCUGACAAAAUGUGGUACCUGCACUACUGGCAAUGGUGUCCUCUCAUCUCCAUGGUCCCUCCCAAAGCAGGAUAGCCUGAAGACUAGGACAAAAUCCUGUGCAUUACAGCGGUGUUGGCAUAUCUUGAGAGACCAGAACUGUGAUGAUGCCACAUAUUCCAAAUUUCUUCUGAUUUCAUGUUUUCUGUGCUGAUUUUUAAGAUCUGUCAGAG
rnacentral:lncRNA from 1 species